rnacentral:rRNA from 1 species
GACGAACGCUGGCGGCGUGCCUAAUACAUGCAAGUAGAACGCUGAAGAGAGGAGCUUGCUCUUCUUGGAUGAGUUGCGAACGGGUGAGUAACGCGUAGGUAACCUGCCUUGCAGCGGGGGAUAACUAUUGGAAACGAUAGCUAAUACCGCAUAACAAUGGAUGACACAUGUCAUUUAUUUGAAAGGGGCAAUUGCUCCACUACAAGAUGGACCUGCGUUGUAUUAGCUAGUAGGUGAGGUAAUGGCUCACCUAGGCGACGAUACAUAGCCGACCUGAGAGGGUGAUCGGCCACACUGGGACUGAGACACGGCCCAGACUCCUACGGGAGGCAGCAGUAGGGAAUCUUCGGCAAUGGGGGCAACCCUGACCGAGCAACGCCGCGUGAGUGAAGAAGGUUUUCGGAUCGUAAAGCUCUGUUGUAAGUCAAGAACGGGUGUGAGAGUGGAAAGUUCACACUGUGACGGUAGCUUACCAGAAAGGGACGGCUAACUACGUG